rnacentral:ncRNA from 2 species
CAGCAAUAACAAGCGCCAGAGCUUGGUCUUGCGCGGGGGAGAAGGGAAAGCUGAGGAUUAAUUAGCUUGAACGGAUCACGGCAGACGUAAGCUGACGAGGUGGAGGUGUUCGAAAUGUUCGGCGGGGACCUCCCGGUGAUGCACCAGAGCCGUAAAUGUAAGCGGAAAAUGCAAGGGCGACCUUACACACAACGCUUUCAUGGGUGCAUAA